AAAUAGAUAGAAUGUGUGUUGAUGGCAAUUAUUGUGUGCUCUAUAUUGAAAACCUAAUUGCCCCUUCUGACAAAUACGGUGUUACUAAUUUAGGGGCUGCUGUGAGCCUGUUGUCGAACUUGUGCAAUAGAAUUGUGCUUAGAUGCCUUGAGACAGAUAAUUAAUCUUUGGUUUUGCACACCCAUUUGUGUCUCGUUACAUGGUAACAUUGGACGCUGUCACCGCGGGUGCUGCUCUGGAUGCUCUGCCUGCCGAGAUGGGAAAUAUGGGAAAUGCCGGUGACCAGCUCAGAGUUGCUGAUGCUCUGCAGCUUCACUCAGAGCCCUUGUUGUAAGGAGCCUGUCGGUGUUUCCACAGUAAACUCUGGGUCUGCGGCCCCUUAGGCUGGAACUUGGCAAACAGGGAGGCCUGAUUUUUGUUGCCAUUGGUCUCAACUGCAGCAUCACAAAGUGGAAGAGCAGAGUCAGUUUUCUGGGGGGUUUGAAAUGGAUAUUGCAUCGAGGGUACUUUGCAUGGCAAAAGCAACUCUUUCCAAGGGUUCUUGUGCACACAUACUCUCGAUGUUUUGUUGGGGAAGAGGAUUGUUCUGAUUAAAGAGAAUUUUUGUAAGAGGGUAAAGUGACUAAACAGGCAAACAACCCAGUUCAGAUGCUGUUUAAGUUGGCUUCUUAAAGCUAUGCUGCGGAUGAUUUGAUACCCAACAAACUUUAAUUCUAAAAGCAGCAUUUUUGACCUCAAGAAUUGUCAGCCCUCUAUAGUAGAGAGUUUUAAUCUAGCAAAGACUGCAGUGCUUGUUGCAAGUUAUGGUGCCAACAGCAAUCCAGCUGUGGCAAAAUGGAGCUUCCUCUGGGCUCUGUUCUGCCAAGAAAUCAGAAUUAUCAGCAUCAGUGAACUUAAUGAGUUUCAGAUAUCAAAGCUUUUGGGUGUCCAAAUGGUCAGAAACACGUGUGAAGUGUUCAGCAGAAGAGUGGCAUUACAGACACUGGGAAUUGGGUUUGUGUGGUUUGUUUUGUUUUUAAUUCUUCUUUCUGUUUAAGUUAAUUUAGCCAUUCUGCUCUUCUGACCUUUGCAGUGGCCACACAUGUAAUGCUAAUUGAGAGAUGAAAUUCUGGUUUUGUUUGUAUUAUUCUAUCAAUAUUAGGAUUUUGUACAGCGAACCAGGUGUUCCAGAGUGAGGAAUGAAGGUAACUAAAAUAAAAAGGUGCACACACAAAACAAAACCACCCCACUCACAAACAAAAACCACAAAACAGCAAGUGAAACACACAACAAAAACCAAGAAGAAUUUCAGUUUUAAGGAGGUCUAAGCCAAAGCCUGCCCCAGUUCUGUUGUUGAGGAUUUUCCAUGUUUAUGAAGCCUACACAGUUGCUUUAUCCAUGUCAGCUUUAUUUUUAACUUAUGCUAGGAAUUAGGGGAAACUUGGCUAAACACAGCUCACAAGUGAUAGAGGCUGUGAAAGCGCAGGGAAUCAGAAUGUAACCAGAAGCUUCUUGUGUUCAGCGUGUUAAAUGCAGGUCCAGAGGACACGUUUUUUGGCACCCCAGUGUUAAACUCUAAUUUAUCUGGUGUUUGAAAAUGACUCACACUGAACACACCUAUUAAGUAACUUCUUGUUUCUUGCAUGAUUCUUUCCUGCCUGUAACAGUGAAAAUAUUGCAGACUACUUGAAUUAACUCUUCGUAGUCCUAAAUCUGCCAUCCUUCCUGCAAGUAGAUUACUCUGGAGAUUAGGAUGUCUCUCACUGGAAUUUGCUCUAUUUGAUGAGUUGCAGAUUUAUCUGUCCUACCCCAUUUCCUUUCAUCCAAGCACACACAUACCCCUCAAUCUCGGUAUGCUGGGGCUUUUUUUGCAUGAAAAGAUAUCAACAGCUCCAGUUUACCCCCUGACCUCUGCUCUAGAGAAGGUAGAGGGUUCUGAAAUCAUGAAUUAGUGAUGCAACCCCAUGCAUAUUGCAUUAGGGCAAGGAACAGUGCAGCAGGUGCUGUGUGCUAAUUCAAUACAAACUAGCACGGAGUGGCACAAAACUACAGUAUUCUGCAGUAUCUGUGAACUGCAGUGCUCUGAGGGCUUGACGUGGCACUUUCCUACAUAAAAAGGGUUGCAUUGUGCACAAAGAUGUGAAAGAAAUGCUGCCAUUCAGUGUGGUUCAGCUGUUUGUCUGUAGGGAGCUGAUAUUUGCUGUCUAGUUUGGUUUUUGUUUUGGGGUGGUGGUGGGUUUUUUUGGUUUUAUUUAUUUUUUAGAACUGGCUGAGAUUGCGCAUCAUCAGUGCGGUGCUGCUGCUCACAAAUACUUGGCUGAACCCCCAUGGCAAUGAAAUCUUAAGUGUGUACAAAACUUGUAGGUGGUUUAGUUCUAUCUCCUUCUUAUCUCAAUUUACAAGUAAAACCUAUUCAUUUUAAUUUAAAACUGUGUGUUGGCUGAAUUCAUAUGUCUUUUUGGGCCACAAAUAAAUGUACUGACCAGUCUGCUAGUACCAUGUACCACUCUCUUAGGAAUAACUGUGUCUUGAAGAAAGAACUGAUCUUAAAACUUCCCUGCUUAGCUUAGAUGGACUGUACUGCAGUCUGAGUGGGAAGAGUUUAGCAGCUUCAACUAGUGCUGAUUGUGCGGAAUAUCGUGCAUCUGCUGACGAAAGGCAAAAGCCACUUCCUGUCUUUGAGCAUGACGUGAUUUUUUUUUUUGUUUGUCUGGGUUUUUUUUGGUGAUCUGUGAUGUUUAUUAAAGGCCUCCAGUUUUUGACUGUAAUUGCUGCAAGAGAAUUGACCAGUGGCAUAGUUCAGUUUUCUGCCUACUGAAGUUUCACAGUGGCCCUGGAACUCCUUUAAAGUUCAUUUAUUUUUAAGCUAUUAGGACUACCAUCAUGAUUUUGUUGCCACCUGCUCCUUGGAUCUUGCUCUGGCCUGUCAUUGCAGAUGUGAGAGUGAUAACUUAAACCCUCAAAAUCUGGCAGCUUUGCCAAAUCUUGCUCAGGCAGUUGAAACGUAUCCCUCUCCAACAGAGGUGUGAGGGAAUGGCUCUACAUCCAUGGCUCUUCUUUGCAGUCUGCAUGAUCACGUUACUCAUGUAUAACAAUGUUUUAGUAGCUCCAUUACUUAGCUUUUUUGCUUUGGCUGCUUUUUGCCUCUUCUCCUUGCUGCUGUUAUUUUUAAAAAGGUUUCAGCUGUGCUUGUACGUUCACAGUACUGAAAAUUUUGUAAGGUGAUCUUCUCAUUUCCUACUCAGUAUUUAGAAUUAAAUCUACCAUUGCAGAGACAAGGAAUCCCCUCGGUUUCAAUAGAAAAGCUUUCUACCUUUCCUCUCAUCCUACUAUGUGGUAUUUGCUGUAGCAAAACAUACAUUGCAUCUUUCCCUAAGGGAGAGAAGUUUCGUUGCUGGCUGGUAAUACCUGAGCGGUGAGUCCCCUGUGGCAGAAAAUAUUGCGGGUGAUUGCACUGAUACUAAGCUGCUUGUUAAUUCUUUGCUGCUUGGAAGUAGGAGGUUAGUUAGGAGAGUGAGAAAAUAGGCAUGUUAAUUCAGCUUGAGAAUUCUAAGGCAGCUAAAGCUUAAACAGAUGAUUAUUUUUUUUUUAAUCAGUGUGUAUACCUGUAAUAGGAUGAAUCCUACUUAGCUUUGCUAUGGGACAGAAAGGGUUUGCAAGUUACUGUCAUUUGUAUGCUCAACACUGAGAAGAGAUACAGAAAUCAUGCAAGAUCUGUGCUGGCUGGGUGUCACUGUGUGAAAAAGGUGCUUCCUUGUUGUGAUUAGAUAAUAUAACAGAUAUCUUGGUUUUCCUUAAGCCUUCUCUGCAAUUAUGAAAACAGUUUUAAAUCUACAUCUGUGAAGUCUAAGAGGAUUAUGAACUAGACUUUCUGAUAUGACUUUAGAUAUCUCCCUGGAUUUGAAUGAGGUUUGUCUUGCAGUAUGGAGGCGAAACAAUUGAUUUUUUUGUUUCUACAGCAACUUGCACGAGUGUGUGUUUUCUAUACCAGGCACUGUGAAGCUGUCAUAUGUAGAUCCACUACCUCCAUUACAGAAAUGGUGUUGCACUGCCAUCUGAUGGCAGAGCUCGAAACAGAACACAAUGCUUCCUACUUCAGUUUCGGCGGAAGUUACUUAAUCCAUAUUAAUGUGGGGCAAGUAGAAGAAUAAAUAUGAGUGCAGCUGCUUCUGCUAUUUGCUGUGUUUUAAUUGUAAAUAAAGGAAAUGUCCCAUCAUUAUUCAGUAAUACUGUUUGGCUUAGCUUUUCCCAUCUCUCUGAAAUUGCUUUCUCUUUGGGCUUGGGCUGACUUGGCUUGUGCUUUCCACACUUAUACUAUCAGAGUAAUAUAAGAAGUAGGCAGAAGACUUAAGUUCUAGGUUUAACUUUGUUACUGAUGUCUUCUCUGCCUCUCUUUUUCCAUAUUUAGAGGAGGGCACUCUGAAUGUUAUGUCUUUUAUAAAGAAACCCAAGCCCCAUUACCCAGAUUUCAGUCUGGAAAGUACCCAGAAAGAAUUUUAAAUCCACCUUUCUACAGUUCUGGCACAAUAUAAAUAGUGUUAUGAGCACACUAGUUUGUCACUAUUCUCUCUUCUUGCUUGACCAGUAGCUGAGGGCUGUGAACCUGCUCUCUGAUUCACUCUUUGCUGAUUACAUUUUCCCCUGCUUUGUAAAAACAAAUUAUUUACCCAUGGAGACAAAGCCUGGCCAAGAGCAAAUGGACCAUAGUUAUGUGCCAGAUUUCUGUAACAGUGGAAGCUGGUCUCUGUUGACCGAUCAAGAGCAAAUACAUGGAUCACUUCUGGGCUUCCUUCUCCUGGGCUUUUGUUACCAUUUAACCCUGGGUGGUGGCUAAACAGUGAAGAAAGCCACUUGCUCUCUUGCCUCUUCUUCCCUGGGGAAGGGGGAAAAACUUGUGGGUUCAAAUGGAAGCAGAUUUAAUAGAACAAUAAUACAAGAAGGCUGAUACAAAGCAAUGCUUGGCUGCUGGGCCACUUGCACUCCCAGCACUGAGUGCCGGAGGGUGGACACGGUGAGCACAGUGACUCCAGUAAAACGUGGAGAUCCCAAAUGGGUGUAGGGAAGUCAUGGAGCCGGCAGCAGGACCCCUUAGAGGUGGUGGCCAUCAAAGAAGGACCAUCCCCAGCAACUUUCUGCUUAAAUAUGGAGCAUGAUGUUCAUGGUAUGGAAUACUUCAGCUGUCCUGGAUCUGCUCCUCCCCACAUCAUACACCCACUUACUUGCAAAACAAGGGAAACUGAGGAACAUCCUUGGUUUGCCUAGAAAUGAGUAUCAAUAUUAGUUUCACCAGAAUUUUCCUCAUAGCAAAAGCUGAAGCGAUGGCAGUUGUGGAGAAGAAUCAGUUCUGUCCCAGCUAAGCAAAACAUCACCUAAGUAACAACUGUAAAUAAACAGGCAUUAUCAUUUAAAAAUGCCAUAGUUACCUAGAAGAAAAUCGGCCACUCUGGCCAAAACCAGGACAACUUUUAAGCCAGUUUGACAAAUCAUCUACCAUUUGGAUUCAUUUCCGUCUCCCUGUGAGGCUGUGACGCCCUCCAUGAAAUAGGCUGUGCAAUGAUGCCAGGAGUGCUGAACUUAGCAGGCACCUGAGUGCUGUCCUUUUAUGUCCCAUUCUUGAUGUGAUGUGACAUACAGAUGCUGUACUGGCAGCACAGCCCUACUAAUAUAGUACAUUUUUAUCUUCAGUAUGUUUCUGAAAAAGCAUGCAAGAAAUCAUCUCACUGCUGUUUGCCUGAGCUGGAAUAUUUAUGCAUUUUGAGCAUAUUUCUUAAGCACUGUAAUACUGUGGUUUUUUCCUUGUUGAAAUCAGACAUUAAAAUGUAUUCACCGUGCUUUCCAGAAAUCAAGUAAUUUAUUGUUUUUGUUUUGGGCUGCAUGUCUGUUAUGCAUCAACUUAAUAGGCGAUCUGCAGUGGAUUAGAUGUUGUUAUUAUGGAUGUCCUCUAUAUAGCAGACACGUUCUUUUUUUAUACCUUGAUGUGUUAUGAUGGUUUGAACGUUGCUGGAAGAUAGUCUAUAAUCAGAGCUUGCUGGCAAGUGUGUAUCUGGGGCAAGAGUACCUCAAAUUGGGUAGGGGACGCAAGUUAAGACUUUAGUCUCACUCCUAUUUGUUUUAUACCAAUAACAGGGAAGAGGUCAUAUGGCCUCUUCUUUACCCCGUGUUAGUGUUGCAUCUGUCACUUACCAUUAUAUACCUCAUUUAUAGUGUCAGGUAGAAAGAAAAUGCAGUCAUCAAAAGGCUGUACAAAAGGUGGUUCUUGUGUUCAGCUUUUGUGUACAGGAGUUGUUUGUGUUUCAUGAGACAAUGCUAAAGCCAUCACAGAAAUGCUUAAUCAGAAUGGGCGUUUAGAUGCUGAAAAAUCUCAUGUGUCCUCUUAUAAUUUCCUAAUAUCAUGCCCUGAGAUGAGAGAAGCAGUAAGCAAAGCGUGAGCUGGUGAUAAAUUCCAAUGAUACCAUCAAUAUAAACAUAUCAGAAUAAUUCUUAUCAAGUGGAUGGUGGAGGAACAAAUAAUAAUUAUUAAUAGGUGUAUAUAUAUUUUUUGAGGUGGCUUAUCCUAGUUAUACUAGAAAGCUUUCUAUUCUUUAUCGUUGGCCAUGCUGAGAGAAGAAAUUACAUUCUUGGAAAAAAACAUCUGUCUACUAAUCUACAAAGCCUGCUUGAUGAAUGUUUGUUCAGCCAAACCAUGCCAGAUUGCAGUAGCAGCAUUUCAGCUGUCCUCAUCGAAGUGUGGUAUGAAAUAAAAAUGUACUUGUUAACUGGAGUACUUGUCUUGCACCACUCGGCUGUAUGAGGUACCCUUUGAGCUCUUCUCUGUGCACACAAUGGUGAUGGCGGGGGGUAUUGAGGAGGGGUGAAGGGAAGGAUGGAUGGAUGGAUGAACUUGUGCUCAAAGCAGCGCAGAGCAGCUGAGCGAGGGGUGACUGUUUCUCCAGUGCUGUACAUCUCACAUCGUUGAAUAUGUCACAUCCUCAAGGUGCCUUCUGAGUGAGAAGAGCCAGGACCUCACACCCUUCGUGCUCGUUGUCACUCCUCUGUGGUGCGAUGCCUGGUGAGCUCAGGAUCAUUGAAUUUCACGCUUUGUUCUUCUGGAUGGGAGAGGGUGCUAAAUACAUGGUCUAGAUAUCUGCAGAACAAAAGCAGUGAUUGCUGGUAUAUUACCUCAGCAUAAAACAGUAGUUACAUGAAAUUAGAACCUUGGUGUACCUCUUUUUUUUAUUUACAUUUACAUUGAGGAGCUGCCACUGUGCUAAAGAGUAGGUAUUUCAUUGGCAGCAAAAUAUUUCUGAGGGGAUGCUGGAAGUUUGGCAACUAAGUGACCAGCAUGCUUCUGGCUGUCACUGAUUUGCUUAAUCCAUAUGCCAGAUUUUCCUUAGCUGAAAAGCGUUAGUAUUUUUGCAUUUCUUGAUAUUGUUCGUGUUUGGUUUUGGUCUCUUUUACCUUGAAAGGUAAAAUCUCUGUUUAUGAGAUGACAGCUACAAAAGGAAAAUGUAUGUCAUAGCAUUACUUAUUGCAAAUGUAAGUAAUUGAGCCUGUAUCUACAAUUCUUAUAUAUCAGUGAGCUCUGGAUUCAGGAAGUAUGGAGCAGUUCUGAAAAGUGGGAAAAACACCAGCAGGUCUUGUUUCUUUUAGUUCUUGGUUACCGGUUACUUUUGGCUAGUGUAGCAACUGUUGUGCUUCGCUUUGCGUAAUGAAAAAGAACUUAGUGCACUUCUCUCUAAAGUUGCGCUUCUGUUUUGCACAGAAGAUUCCAACAGAUCUUGAUGAAUAUCCAAAGGCCUGAAUUAGACACCAAAUGUUCUGGGAAACAGUGUUUUGGGGGCUUUCUAUGGGUUCUUAUUCCACCAAGUGCUCUUUGGAACAUUCCUGCUAUUGUACACUUUGUUCUGUUCCCUGACAGGUCAGCUGAAGAAUUUAAGAGGAUGUAGUCAGUUGAAGUAAAAACAUUAUGGAAAGCCGACCUUUCUUGUUUUACUGCUCCCUCAAACUCCUUACUUUAGUUAAUUAGAAGCAAUAAAACAUAACUAAAUGUCUCUCUGUGAGGCAAGAACACUGGCCCUUUCAGUUAUGUGGAGGGCUGUGACGGGAACGUCGUGGUAGCGGGGGAGGAAAUGCAAAAAGCACCAAGUCUCAGAAAACAAUCUGCGUCCAAGGGAAUCUGAUGUAUUAGGCUGACUAAUACUUGAAAGGGUGUGGGAUGGACCUAAGUUGUGCAGGGUUGACAGCAACUCUCCUUUUUGAACUAUAGAGUCACUAGGUGACUGUAUGUUUUAACUUCAGCUACGCUGCUAAAAGUCUAUAAAGAUACUUCGCCCUUUCAAGGAUCUUCACACCUUAAAAGGGACUUCAUAAUCCCCGGAGUGUGAUAGUUGAUACUUCAAUAUUGCAGAACAUUUAGCUGAGACAUGUUCGCUAACCAGAACCAGACAGGAGGUUGUAACAAAGCUUGGAACAGAACUGAAAACUCUAGGUCUGUUUUUAGGACAAAACUGUGUCUAAAACCAAGCCUGGCUGAAGUUUCACGAUUGCUUUAGAUAUUUUAAUUUGCAAGCGUAGGCUGCAGCCAAAAGGAAUAGACCGAUAUGUCUAGUGCAUGCAUUCAUUCCUCCUCCUUUGCAUUGGCACUAGCAUUCAAUUUUUGAGUAACAGCUUUGAUCAAGAAGCCAAUCCAGCUAUAAAAAUGAACCUAGCUACAUAAAAAAAGAAGGGGAAUGGAGGCAACAGGCACCUUCAUGGGAGACAGGGCACAACUGCCCUCUUGGUAGCAGCCUCAACUUGGGUUGGUUUACAGCUGUCACAAACCUAAAAGCACUUUGGAAACAUCACAGUUUUUUUGAUCACUUGUGAAGCAUUUGCCUUAUGCAUUUUCAACAGUUGCUGUUGAUCCUUGGUAUGGUAGCAAUCAAUCGUGAAGCACUGUUUUUAUUAAUGGGUGGAAAUUAGGUUCAAAAUGGUACUGGCUUAAAACUUUUGUCUCUCACCUUUUUAUAGAUAUUUAUUUCCUUAAUUUUCAAGUAAACGUUUUGCUUCCCAAAAAAUGUCCCAGUGACUGAAAAAUCAUGAAUGUGAGUCUUUCUGGAAAAUGGAUUGAUAGCACUGUGAGCAUUAUUAGUGCAAAAUUUUAGUUUGCAGACCUUUUUUGCAAUGUUCACCCAAACCGAGCUAUAAUCCCAAAUUAUAAAACCAGUUUAACUAGGAUUUAUGUGGGAAUAUGGAGGUGAAAUUCUGCGGUUUGUCUUUUGCAGGAGGCCAAGUGAAUUUAUCAAUGACCUUUACCAGUCUAAAAAAGUGUGUGAAGCUCAGUAUAAGAUGGCAGAAGAGCUUGGUUCUGCUCUGCAAUGAGGUUGUGUUGGCAGAGAGGGAAAAACAUGCUUGUGAGUUGAAGUCAUUUAGUGUUUUCAUUCUAGGAAUGGAGAACUGCAAGGAGGUAAUUCCCUCAGCUUUUCAAUACAUUGAUCUUUGAAGUAACACAAAGAUUUUGACUGAAAAACGUGAAUGAAAAGUUAACUUUUCUCGAUGUGGAUGGGUGGGUAGGUGGUGUGGGUUUAAAGAGUAUUAAAAUUGAAGUGAGUUUUGUGUUGGUGCUAUUUCAGGUCUUUUAUAUACAUCUGAAUAUAUUCUUUCACUUUGGUAGGCAAUAAUGGGCCUGUCUUGAGAAUUAAAGUUGAUUUUCCUGUUAUGUCAAAUUCAGGCGUAAUUUGAAUCAAGGCAUUGGAAUUACAGUAAACUAAAACUGGUGAAAAAUCAGUUUGGAAAAGUCAAAAUUUGUGCACGACUAUCAAAACAUAAAUACGUUUAGUCCCUAUUGAAACUAAACCUGCUUAUAUUUAAAAACUGCUGAUUUCACGAAUGUAAUACAUGAAUGAUAAGAUUUAUGAAAUUUAAUGUUUCAAGACGUUCUGUCUUGUUUGAAAUAUAAAACUGUUGGUUUUAUUGAGCUAAUAGGUUUUCCAGUUUUCCAACAGCAACCUUGCAAAUGAUUCAGAUGUGAUCAGUGACCCUUGAAAGCACACAUAUAUCUUUUUUAAGAAAAGAAACAAUACCAACUCACAACCAAAGCCAACAAAACCCCCUCCAAUUUAGAUGUGUGUUUUCUGUUGAUCUUCUAACAUCAUUUGCUGCUUGUUUUACCCUUUCCACCCUCUGUCCUUCACUCCUUUUUCCCCCUUCUCUUACACUUCACGUUAUCAUCAGGUGAAUACAUUUUCCACCUUCCAUGUCAGACAAGAGGAGCAACAUGAAGCAGCUUUUCCAACAAGAAUAAAAUAUGGUUUUAUACAUGGUGCAGUGUGGCCAUCUCUGGUCCACUAACCUUCACUGGAAAGCAGCCUACAUUCCUUCUCACCAGCCCCCCUGACCCCUUUUAUAAAACAGAAGGACAUUGCAACCAUUCUGGAAGGUCCUGAUGACAAAUAUUAUCUAUAUUCUUUACUUUCCCUUGGUCUUAAGCUUAUUUGUAUGUGUGCAUGUUUAUUUUUUUAAUAACUUCAUAGGAAGGAGCAGCUAUGUAUAUUUCUACAGCAUCAAGCACACUUGGAUUUACAAGCAUUUUAUUCUCCACAUGCACAGCAAAAGAAGGGACAGGCCAGACUUAGGGGCAUUGAUCAGCACCAGUAUUUUUGGGUGAGGGUCUGGCACUACUGCUAAAACACGCAUCAGGCCGUUGUGGACAGUUAAUGAUUUAAUGGCUUCGUUUUCCUGCCACAAAGGCAUGAGACGCUAACAGGGUGUGUGUGAAGCCAGCUCUGCAUUGAGGUUGAGAGCACAUGCGUGGAUGGAGACCAAGUUGUAAGCUCUGACCUUUCUCUGCCUUUUGAGGAGCGAUGCUGGUGGGGCCGCCUGCCAAAGGGCGAGUUUUGGGAGCAGGAGCAGCUCCUCGGUGGGGGAAGCAGGUGAAGUCAUUCGUGCCUCUGUGUGCACACAGGGGAAAGAUAAAUCGGUAGCAAAAAGAGGAGAACGAAGAAUAGCAAGACAAGAAAGCCUGCACGUCUGUUCUGCCACCCCAGACAAGGAGCAGGUUGUACAGAACGUGCCCUUCUGUGCUUUUUCUUUCUGACAUCUCUGGCUGCUGCACAUCGUUGCGCACCCCAAGAUGCGCACUGCCCCCCGGGAGCUGCAGUUACUCCUCAUGGGGAUGGUUUGUGUUACAGAGUUCCGUGCUGCACCAUCUGCUCUUCGGAAAGAUUUUAAGUGUGGGCUGAACGUUCAAGAGACAAAACCAUGGAGUUACUUUAACCUUUUCACUCGGAUUGUCGGGGGAAACCAGGUGAAACAAGGCUCACAUCCAUGGCAGGUUUCCUUGAAACGAAGGCAAAAGCAUUUCUGUGGAGGCACCAUUGUUUCUGCUCAGUGGGUGGUCACGGCAGCUCACUGCAUCUUAGACAGGAAUGUACUUCAGUAUGUGAAUGUCACUGCAGGAGACCAUGAUUUGAGGAUCAGGGAAAAUAGCGAGCAGACGCUCCCUGUUAAAUAUGUCAUUAAGCAUCCAAACUUUGACCCUAGAAGGCCGAUGAACUAUGACAUUGCCCUUCUGAAGCUGGAUGGAGCCUUCAACUUCAGUUCUUCGGUUUUGCCAGCAUGUCUUCCUGAUCCAGGUGAAAAGUUUGAAGCAGGAUACAUCUGCACUGCUUGUGGUUGGGGCCGUUUAUAUGAAAAUGGAAUACUGCCUCAGGUCUUACAUGAAGUCAAUCUACCAAUCCUAAACAGUGAGGAGUGUUCAAGAGCAUUAUCAACUUUAAAGAAACCCAUCCACGGUGACACUAUAAUGUGUGCUGGGUUUCCAGAUGGAGGAAAAGAUGCCUGCCAGGGAGACUCAGGAGGCCCGCUUCUGUGCCGACGUAAGCAUGGUGCCUGGACCCUGGCCGGGGUGGUCUCCUGGGGGAUGGGAUGCGCUCGUGGCUGGAAAAGUAAUGAGAAGAAGAAACAUUACGACAGAGGAUCUCCCGGAAUAUUCACAGACCUCAGUGCGGUGCUUUCCUGGAUUCAAGAGAACAUGAGUGCUGAUCUGAAAAUGAAAAGCUCCACAGCAUUUUGUAGCAUUCAGGAUGGCAAACUCCCCGACAGUGAAGGACAAUUAAAUUUUCCUGGAAGUCCCAAACGGUUCUAUGAAAACCACCAAUUGUGUAUAUGGACUCUGUUUGUACCAGAAGGGAAUUAUAUAUUGCUUCGUUUUUCCUACUUUGAUAUAGAGUCAGAAACAUUUUGUGAUUAUGAUUCUUUAUCAGUCUAUUCAAAAGGCGACAGACUUGUUGGGAAAUUCUGUGGAGGAGGUCUUCCUUUACCUAUUUUGAUUGGCUCCAAUAGUGUAAGGCUGAAAUUUGUUUCUGACAACAAGGAUUAUGGAACUGGUUUUUCCAUGACCUACAAAGCUCUUCCACCAGAUAUUCUUCCUGAUUCUGGCUGUGAGUCCUUAGCUGUCCUUUUUGAAGAAGGAAUGUUGCAAAGUAUGCACUAUCCAGAGCACUACAGCAACAUGGCAGACUGUCAAUGGAUUAUUUAUGCACCAGAGAACCACGUAAUCAAGCUUACAUACCAGUAUUUUGAAGUAGAAGAGAGUGAAGAUUGCUCUUAUGAUGCUGUGACUGUAUAUGAAGAUGUGGGAAAAGAGGAGGAAAUUGCUAAGUCUUGUGGAUUCACCCUACCAGCACCUGUUCUAAGCUCCUCUGCGAUGAUGCUGGUUGUCUUCCACUCCGAUGAAACAGAGACCUUUGGUGGAUUCAGAGCUAUGAUCUCUUUUAUUCAUGUAGCAGAUUUAGAUACUUUGGAUUCAACUAGUGAAGAAUUUGAAGAGACGAAUAUGAGUGAAGAAGAAACACAAGUUACAACAGAUGAUAUUUGUGGAAUGCCUUCAAAUCAGCCCAGGUUCAUCUUCAGUAGGAUAAUUGGAGGUGAAGAAGCUGUACCAUACUCAUGGCCUUGGCAGGUCAGUGUACAAAUUUCAGAUCAGCAUAUCUGUGGAGGAGCAGUUCUUGCCAAAGAAUGGGUUGUCACAGCUGCUCACUGCUUUAAUUCUAAAGAAGUAUACAGAGACUUAUGGAUGGUGGUAACAGGAAUUCAUGAUCUCACAGACCAAGAAUACAGACAGAAAAGGUCAGUGAAGCAGUAUAUCAUACAUCCAAGUUUUAACAAGACCACUAUGGACUCUGAUAUUGCCUUACUGCAACUGGCCAAGCCCUUAGAAUUCAACCACUAUGUGCGCCCAGUGUGCCUCCCUGCCAGGGAGGAGGAGGUUCAGCCCUCGAGCGUGUGCGUGGUCACAGGAUGGGGUGCACAUGAAGGAGACAGAGGAAAGGGGAAAAAAUUGCAUCAGCUGGAAGUGCCCAUCUUAGUGCUUGAAACAUGUCAGAGCUAUUACAUAAAUCUUCCCAGUAAAGUGACCCAGAGGACAAUCUGUGCUGGAUUCCCUCUGGAAGAAGGCAAGGACUCCUGCACAGGUGAUUCUGGUGGCCCAUUAGUUUGUCCUUCGGAAGAUAACUCGGGAUUUUACACCCUUCAUGGAAUCACAAGCUGGGGCUUGGGAUGCGGAAGGAAGAGCUACCCAGGAGUAUACACAAAUGUUGCUGGUUUUGUUGACUGGAUCAAGCAGAGUGUUAAUAGUAGUGAUCUCCCCAUUUUCAUGGUGUGACCAUCGAAAGAGCAGUUCUGGUGGACGACACUGUAAAACAUUUACAAAUCACAAAUGUCAUGAAAAGCAAAUUUUGAUGAGACUGUGUUAGUUCAUGGUUGGUUAACAGAUUCCAAAGUAGCUGAUGAUUAUCCUGGUGAAUUUAUUGCUGAUUUACCCAAACUGAGACAUUGGCUUUACACCUGUGUGCUUGGGGAAGAUACAAGUUACUCGCAGGCUUCUGACGCUCUGAUAAUCUAUUUUACGAGGAUUGAGGGGGAAAAUAAACCACUAUAUACCAUAUGCCAAGUAUAUCCUUGAAUGUAGUAUUGGAAAGCAUAAAAAUACUGUAGAAAUGAGAUUAAAUAAGUGCCUUUGUAAAAUGACUGAAGGAGCAGUUGGCCAUCUGUCCAUUCAGGUCCAUGAGAGUGUUACCCCUGGCUCUGGGAGGAGCAGUGGCAGCAGGAAUGCAUCACUGAGGAGCAGAACAACAUUGCCUAGUAAUUAGUCAUGUGAAUCAAUCCAAUUGCUGGGAAAAGGAUAUUUUUAAUAUAGUUGUUCCUAUUUAAACAAAUUGAGUGUCGUUUAAACAGAAAGAAGUGUUUGUAAAGACGAGUGUUACAGGCCAAGGGCCUUUGGCACCAUGCAAGAACCGACAGCUAUCCUAAUUGAUCUAUACAUAUAAUUUAAAAGGUACUGUGUAAUCCACACGCUGCAAACUGAGCACAUUUUCUUGUAAACAGCAGUUUGUUUAAUGCCCAAAUGGCUGCUUACACAAGAAAUAGUGAUGGCAGGCUGCAACUAGCUUUGCAGACUGUUUUGUGCACAGGCUUAGUGUUCAGAAACUAGAUUAUCAUAGUACCAUAGGUAAUGCAAGUAUAAACCUUCUUUAACUCAGUGAUCUAUAAAAUAAGUGGAAAGGAAGUAAGAUCUCUUAUUUUUUUUUUUCUAUUGAUAUUAAUGGCAAAAAUUUUAGAGAUGUGUUUCCCAUCCAUGCAUCUGAUGCCAGUAACCCUACUUUUUUGAUGACAUUAUUCUAGAACUUCUGAUUUUUUUAAAGAUAUAAUUUUAUUCUGUAGCUGGCGAAACAAAUAAUAUCUUUAUUCCCAAAUGAAUAUAGUAAAUGCUUUUCACCAGUUUCUUGUUUUCCCUGUAAAGUUUUAGGGAAAAGCCCACAAAAUAGUCUAGAGCAUGAGCUUUCCACCUUCAUGGUGGAAGGACUAUGGACAAAUUCAGAUUAAGCGUAAGGCAUAGCUGUAUUACAUUAUUGAUAGAGUAUGCUUGUUCUAUCUUUGAUAAGCUCUUUGAAGAGGUCUUUGGAGAGCAGUGGAGGGAAAGUAUCCUUUGCAAUUUUUCAUUAGGGAAGUCUGUUAAUGUUCAGUCAUGGUGGAAGUUUCUAUUAGCUAACUACAUCAAGUUUAACUAUGGGAGCAGAUGUGUCUAAUCACUUGGUUGCUAUUCUAUUUUGCUUAACAGGAACAAGAUAAUUUUAAAUACCUGUAAAGUUUUUAUCUGCUUAUUUAGCAGAUGUCAGUGCUGUAUGUUCAGAAAAAUAAAGACAUGGGGGAGAACUAUGGGUGGUAUCUGCUGUGCUAAGCGGCCUAUUGAAUGCAGUGUCUAUAUGCUGAUAAAUUGAUAUUGCUUAAAAAAUUCAUUUUGUAUAAUAGGAGUGCUAUCUUUGAUGAUUUGAUUGGAUUGUUUGGGUACUUACUUUUGUUUGUCUGCAUGAUGUUGACCUUUUGUGUUUCUCUUAGUGUGGUUUUAAAAGCAGUCUAGUUUUGCUUUUGUUUCUUGUAUCUUUUUAGUCCAUUGUAAGCUACCAGUAUCUUUUAGCAAUAAUGUGAAGUGUUUUGUGAUGCAAAUUUGAUUUAAAAAAAAAAAAAAAAAGUAAAAAAAAUAUUUUCCAUGGAGUUCAUGUAAUGAAAUUGUGGUUUAGUUUUUACAAAAUUGAUAUCAAGUCCACUUUAAUUCUUAACAGUUUUAAGAGGCUUUUCUGAACCCUACCGUCAUAAAGUAGGAUACUAGUAGCCUACCUGAGUACUGAGGUAGGCUCAGGUUCCCCGUGUGCUUAAAAUCUGGAUAGACACCUUCUUCUGUUGGCACCCCAGGACAAUGUAGUGGCUACUGCAUUGUACUGCACCACACUCCUGUGUCCUCCCUGAUGGAGCCAGAGGAGCGAUAGCACAGCAGCAGCAUCUCCUUCCAUAAUGUGCUCUGCCUGCAGGACAGACUGCAGCAAAUUGAGACUGGACCAGAACUCCUGCAUCGCUGUUCUGUUGCUGAACACGAAAUCAAUGAGAUUUAAGGUAGGGUGAUGCAGGGGAGGAAAAGGACUGUAGCCAGUGAGCGACCAGCUGGAUAACUGCAUUUGGCGGCUGUUUCUAUCCCACUGUUUUCUGCAAAGGGGGUCUGGUUGCUCGCAGUGGCCUGUGGUGUGACAUGCUCCCAACCUCGGGAGAUGGUCCUGCUGUCCAAAACGGUCCCGCAGUGAGUUCUGUGCACAGGACAUGUGAAAUGCUGAUAAACCUCGAAGUAUUCUUAAACAUGCCUUAGCUUCACAAAACAGACGCUUCAAAUGGGGCCUCUUUUCCUAGGGUGUCCUGUUUCAGGCGGGGUUGCGGGAGGAGCGGGGUUUCGAGCAGCGCUAUUCCCGGCCCAGCCUCCGCCUGGCCACACUCCAGCGCCCUGCCCACGC